GUGAAUCAGGACCAGUGCAAUAAAUCACCCUCAAUACUUCCUGUGAAUGGCAACUGCUGAAGGGAAGCUUCUGCCUCUCAUCAUACACUGCCUCAGGGGGGAACAAAAUAGAUCAUUACAAUGGAGGCCAAAGAGUGCUUGAAUGUCUCUGCCGAAGGCUUUCAAUAAAUAUUUGUUGAAAAAGAAAGAAGGAAGAAAGAAAAGGAAGAAGGAACGAAGGAGGAAAGGAAAGAAGGAAAGAAGGAAGGAAGGAAGGAGUUAAUGAAGACUCAAGGGAGAGUUUGAAGGUGGGUUGGCAGAGACUGUGACCGCAACUGACUGCGUUCUGCAGAAUUAUGGUAAUGAAAUUGGAAGCCAACUUUCGUGAAGCAGAAAGCCUCAAGUUUCCAGGUGCUGUGCUCAGUCCAGGAAUACAAUGAUGAAUAAGAUCAAGGCCCUUAUUUCAGAGCUGACACACACUAUACAUAAUGCAUCAAAAAUUGUGUUCUCGCUAUAUUUCUGUUUAUUUGGUUUUAUCUGCAAGAAUAUAGAUAGCAUCUGCUUUGAUAUAAAACUUUUAUGUGUCUUAUGUAGUUGAUUUGUAAAUGUCCUAUCUAUAAAUAUAAAACAAUAAAUUACUAGUUACAGUUAGCUUAGGAAAACUUUUAAUCAUGUCCUACAUUUUACAAUUUGUAAUUUCUACCAAAUGUUUGUAUUUUUAUGUCUUAUUAAAUAUAAUAAAUAUUUGUCUUAACAUAUUUUAAUAGAAUUCCUCAUAUGUUUUGCAGAAAGCUAAUUAUCGUUUUCCAUGUGAUUUUU
rnacentral:lncRNA from 1 species